AGUGAACGCUGGCGGUAGGCCUAACACAUGCAAGUCGAACGGCAGCACAGUAAGAGCUUGCUCUUACGGGUGGCGAGUGGCGGACGGGUGAGGAAUACAUCGGAAUCUACUUUUUCGUGGGGGAUAACGUAGGGAAACUUACGCUAAUACCGCAUACGACCUACGGGUGAAAGCAGGGGAUCUUCGGACCUUGCGCGAUUGAAUGAGCCGAUGUCGGAUUAGCUAGUUGGCGGGGUAAAGGCCCACCAAGGCGACGAUCCGUAGCUGGUCUGAGAGGAUGAUCAGCCACACUGGAACUGAGACACGGACCAGACUCCUAAGGGAGGCAGCAGUGGGGAAUAUUGGACAAUGGGCGCAAGCCUGAUCCAGCCAUACCGCGUGGGUGAAGAAGGCCUUCGGGUUGUAAAGCCCUUUUGUUGGGAAAGAAAAGCAGCAGGUUAAUACCCCGCUGUUCUGACGGUACCCAAAGAAUAAGCACCGGCUAACUUCGUG
rnacentral:rRNA from 1 species